UACGGAGGGUGCAAGCGUUAUCCGGAUUCACUGGGUUUAAAGGGUGCGUAGGCGGGCAGGUAAGUCAGUGGUGAAAUCUCCGAGCUUAACUCGGAAACUGCCGUUGAUACUAUUUGUCUUGAAUAUUGUGGAGGUAAGCGGAAUAUGUCAUGUAGCGGUGAAAUGCUUAGAUAUGACAUAGAACACCAAUUGCGAAGGCAGCUUACUACACAACGAUUGACGCUGAGGCACGAAAGCGUGGGGAUCAAACAUG
rnacentral:rRNA from 1 species